UACGAAGGGGGCGAGCGUUGUUCGGAAUUACUGGGCGUAAAGGGCGCGCAGGCGGCCCUUGAAGUCAGGCGUGAAAGCCCCGGGCUCAACCUGGGAAUGGCAAUGGAUACUGGCAAGCUAGAGUGCGGUAGAGGGUAGUGGAAUUCCCGGUGUAGCGGUGAAAUGCGUAGAGAUCGGGAGGAACACCAGUGGCGAAGGCGGCACCCUGGACCAGCACUGACACUGAGGCACGAAAGCGUGGGGAGCAAAAGGG
rnacentral:rRNA from 1 species